rnacentral:lncRNA from 1 species
AUGGGAUGCCAAGGCGGCAAACAUUUCUUUUGNUGUAUGUGUUCUUUUUUUGUGAGCAACGUAAAUGAUAUUGACUGUUUAUUCGUUACACAUAUUACUGUCACUUUCAUAAAAUUACUGACGAUGGGAGCAGCACUGUUUGAAACAUGUUUGAAACAAGACUUGAAGAAUACUAAUCAACUACAGUGCAUUGCGCGCCGGAAACAAUGAAAUGCUAAGCAAAGCGCCAUUUUCUCUGCCAGAAAAAUGGCGGUUUUCUAGGUGAAGUUUGGGAAUCCAGUUCCAUCGGUCUUGUUAUUCCUGCUAGAUGUGUUAUAACCAUCGUAUUAUAAUGAUACAUAGUCACUUAAAGCUUUCCACUUAAAGAUUUCAAAAGUUAUGUCUAACAGUUGGACGACUACCCUGGGUUCCAGAGGGAUUUUUUCCGCGGAUUUACUGACUGAGAGCUGCGCAAGCCUCUCGCGGCCUCGCCGNUCUUAGUCGGUAAAUCCGCGAGAAAAAUCCCUCUGUAACCCAGGGUAUUGGACGACCGAAAAAUUAUAAUUUCACUAAGAGAAUCACUAUGAAAAACUCAACCUACUUGCUGUGGAAUAAAAGGAAGGAAACUUGGGGAAUUUGAGAACAUUGGUAUAGUGAAUUUUCAAAAAAACUGCUUCAUUGGCACGUAUGGAAGAGAUUCAAGAACGAUGUAGGCGAACGAUGUAAACAAUAACAUUGCGCAGUGUAUUGUAGCUGACUAGGAUUCUUUAAAGUUGUCAUCAAGAUAUGGGUAAUUUGCACAGCAAAAAAAAAGCACACACACACACAAAAAACUAAAUCCGAAAAGAAAAUAAAGGAUUACAAAGCCGACAGAAGAUAAUCUCAAAACGAAGGGUUACUUAAAUUUGAAUUCAGUAAAAAGCUCUAGCAGAGACACUAACCCGAAAAGGAAGGAAGGAAUUAUGACAUAAUCGUAUACAUCCUUUUAGAGAAGAAAGAAAACUAUAAUGUACUUAAUUUUCCAAAUCGUUUUAAGAUUUUAAAGAAAACCUUUUAAAUGUCUCUCUUGAAAUGAUAAGAUUUCAGUUAAAAGUUUUGGUCGUAAAAGAAGCGGAAAUAUUACAAUAUUAAUUCGCGAGGGAAAUUUUUUUGCCGAUAAUAUGCAUGAUUGAAAUUUUUGUUCUAUAUCGCUGACUUUCUCCAGAAAUUCAAGACAGUUUUGAGAAGGGUCUAUUCCAGUUUGAAGACCAGAAGGGCGAAAAAGGCUUUUUGCGCCUCUAUUUGCUACUGGUGUUUUACUUCAGAAACCUGCAACGCCAAGUCAAAUGGGAAAGAAAAUGGUUGAGAAUGUAAUGGUUAUGAAUACAAAUGUGGGAACUCUUUGACCACCCCUCCCCCCUGGUGAGAUAGUUCGACGGUCUUCAGCCAUCGAAGUACAUUGGCCAUUCGUGGUGUUGAAAGGAAGGACGAAAGAUAUCAUCAUUGGAUUCAAUUUUUAUGUUUCAACUAAAAAAAUACAUACGUUGCAAGCCAUUGCCGUGCCGUGCACGUGCAGUUUGUAGGAUUGUCACGAUUCUGAACACGAACUAUGAUUUAGGGCAAAUAAAAUACAUACGUCGCAAGCCAUUUUAGUGUCAGUGUUACCUUGCCGUGCACGUACUGUUAGUAGGAUUGUCACGAUUCUCAACACGAACUAUAACUUCGAGCAAAUAAAAUACAUACGUCGCAAGCCAUUUUAGUGUCAGUGUUACCUUGCUGUGCACGUGCACGUGCUGUUAGUAGGAUUGUCAUGAAGAAAAGUAAAGAAGACUUACCAAUUCAUAAAUACGCCAAGCAGCAGAACAAGAAGAGAGAUCUUGCGCAAAGUCACCCCUGG